rnacentral:rRNA from 4 species
AACUUUCAACAACGGAUCUCUUGGUUCUCGCAUCGAUGAAGAACGCAGCGAAAUGCGAUACGUAAUAUGAAUUGCAGAUAUUCGUGAAUCAUCGAAUCUUUGAACGCACAUUGCGCCCUUUGGUAUUCCAAAGGGCAUGCCUGUUUGAGCGUCAUUUCUC